rnacentral:lncRNA from 1 species
UAAAACUCUUUGGUGGAUGAAAAAAUGAAGUUGGAGUGAUGAGGAAAUGGUGAAAAGGGGUCCCAAUUUAUAAAAAAUGGGGACUAUUAGAUUUGUAUGAAGUGGUGAAAUCUUGUGAAGAGAGAAGAAAGUAAAAAGUUACUUGAUACGACAUGAUGAUUGACGAACAUGACUGAUGGAUGGCUGAUGUGAUGAUGGCGACAAGACAAUGAUGUGAAAACUAG